CGACCCCGUAGGCUUCUCGAUACCGCACGGCGAACAUAGGUCGCGUAGGCUAACUCCGGAGUGCCGGCUUGUGGGGAGCAACCCACACAAGCANGGUAGGUCCCUGUGAAUGAAAGGAUAGUAUUCAAUGAAGAAGGACAGUAAUGAAUGCUUAUUACUUAAAGUGUACAGUAGUCACUUUCAUGUUCGUGCUUAUAUUCAUGCUUAUGUUCAUGAUUAUAGAAAUUGCCAUAUCCCUAUUAUGCAAAUGAUUCAUUACUGUAGAAUGCUAUUACAUGUUGAUUACAUGCUUAUUACUUGUUAGCAUCAUGCUUAUAAAUCAUGCAAUUAUCGUUUCGCUUCCAAUUAGUACAUCUUGAGCCUAGUGGUGUAAUUCGCCGAGGCUGGCGGCUUACCCACUGGGAACUAUUGUUUAUAGUUCUCACGCCCUUUUUGGUGGUUGUUUUACAGAGCCUGUUACAGGAGAGGCUAGGGAUCGUGGCAAGGGAGUCGCGCCUAGCUAGGGACUACUAGGAGCGUGCUAGUCGAUCACCUUGCUACUCGGGCUACGGCCGAGGGUGAUGUCCCUAUGUAUAGAGAGACCACCGUUGUAU
rnacentral:lncRNA from 1 species